UUUGAAAUUUUUAUGUUAUUUUAAUAAGUCUUUGUAAAUUUUAUAUUAAAAUAUUAAGUAUGGGAGAAGUGUUUGUAUUAUUUUAAUGCUAGCAAUAAAUGUGUUCACACUUUGUUCAUACUUUAAAUUUUAUUAAACUUUCAUUGCUAACGGAGAUUUCAAGAAACUUUACUAACAAACUGUUGUUGAAACUGGUGAUGGGAAAAGUUGGUAUCAGAGCUUCUCUCUGUAUAUUGCAGUAUAUUAAUUAGGAAAAGAGACUGAAGAUUCAAAUUAAUUUUCAGAGUACCGAACUUUAUCUUACCCCAUAUAAAGUCUGAUUAAUUUUGCUUAAUUUAUUCUGAAUCUUUAUUUGCUCUGCUUACUUAACAUGAAUUAGUGUCAUAAGAAGUAAUGUCUUUUAUUCCUUAUCCUCCUAGUAUAUAUAAUAUAGAUUAUGAUCGUGUAAAAGAACUUAAUAAUAGGUUGUAUGCUCAACGUAAAGAAUUUAGAGAAACUUGUGAUAAAUUACAUAAUUUAAGAACUACUAUAAAAGAUUUAACCACAGAUAUUAAAAACUUAACUUCUCUUAAAUAUUUGAAUGAAUACGAAGUAGCUAUACAAGAAGCUUUUGA
rnacentral:lncRNA from 1 species